AGCACUUGGAAACGCGCGUUCGAUCCUGUGAAUUCACAGUGAGUCGGUUCUAUGUGAACCGGGGCAGGGGAUUAUUUAAUUUUGGCAAUAACUUCGGGAGAACGGAUACUUUGGUCUCUGUGAGCACAAUCCCGACUACAACAAGGCUUUAUAGUUGCAAGUAACAGCUGAAUUUGGCUGCUUUCACCUGCACACAGCAUUUGAGGUUGUGAUUUGUACCAAGGGAUGCUGUUUUUUAAGUGGAGUAUUCCUUGCCUGCCCUUAAAGCUUCCUGACCAAUGUCUCUGAGGGUGGUACGUGUGUUGUAAAUGAAACAAAUAAGGCAUUAAUGUGUUUGAGUCUGAGAAGACCCUUUAGCACAUCAGUGAGGGAAAGGAGAACUCUUCAUUUUUUUUUGUAAAACUAAAGGAAGGUAAAGGUGGCAGAGGCUCUGGAACCAGCUCUAUAUGUCUGUGCCAAAGAGUGAAUACGUGGGGAGCUGUAUUGCUACUGCAGUGUGUGCUGUCACUGUGUUGUGGCUGACAGCUGACUUACAGUCAAGCCAGCCUCUUCCCUAACCCUGAAUUUGUACAUAAAAGGAAUGAGAGACUCGUGUUCAAAGAAAUACAACUUCCUGAGAACACUCCUAUUGGUUCCUAGAAAAGAGAUUAAUUUGACCAGCUUGCUCUAAUCAUGGGAUUUUCAGGGUUGCUAAGGGCCAUAUGGACCUCUCUUACUGAAGGAAGCAAAUGAAUGGAUACUGUCUGGAUUCAAAACCUGCUGCACUUACAUGGUCAUUUUAGUUGGACAGCUUCAUCAAUCACCUCCAGAACGUCACUCAGUGAUGGAUGGUCACCUGUGCUCAGCAACCACAGCAGGAAAGACGUGCUGGCAGAGGCAAUAAGUACCUGAGUCUCACUGAGCCAGUGCUCCUUCCUACCCAGAGGCCGACCCAUCAUUCCUUGUCUGAGGCACAAUGCAGAAACCAGAACCGUUCCUGGUCUCCCCUCUGGCAGCUCACAGCUGUGGGCUUAAAAAGCAGUCCAAAAAUCUGCAUGAGAGAAAAGGGACAGAGCAGAGAGAUCAAAUUAAAACGCAGCCAUGGAGCACAGCAGUUGCAGGAGGCUUUAAUGAGGACUCUUUUAAAGGCAGGGACAUCCCUUUGUUAGCAGCUCUGUCUUGUUAAAGUGUGGGUGGACAGUGGCUGUUCCCAGCCAUGCCCUGCCACGAGGAGUUCCUUUGCCUGGCUCUGCCUUCUCUCUUGAGCGCAGCAGAGCGUGGGAACCUCUGCCCAUCCUGCUUUUCCUUAAUUGCCCCUUAGCUCUCUACACUCAGCUUUUCUCCCCCUGCCCUGGGCCUGUUCAGAACAGGAUCAAUGGCUUUUCAUCAGAAGAAGUACUGUAGUGUGACCAGUGUUUUAUUUGGGAUGUCAGACUGACGUGUGGAGCAGUGAAGGGGCUGGGGACAGGUCUGCCAUAGAAUCAUAGAAUGUAAACGGGUUGGAAUGGACUUUAAAUAUCAUCUACUCCCAACACCUGCUGCCACAGGCAUCUCCCACCAGCCCAGGUUGCUCAAGGCCUUAUCCAGCCUGGCUUCCAACACUGCCAGGGUUGGAGCAUCCACAACCUCCCUGUGCAACCUGUGCCAGUGUCUCACCACCCUCACAGUAAAGAAUUUCUUCCGUAUAGCCAA